rnacentral:lncRNA from 10 species
UCAGACAAUCAUUGGCAUCUGGAUGGAAUUUGUUAACAGUCCCUGUAAGUAAAGGACCUCUCCCUUCAUCACUCCAUGAUGCCUCUGUCCUACAUUGUCCUCCAGCAGGCAGCUGCAGAAAUGUAAGCUGGCCUAAGAGAGAUGAACUGACUGUUCAGGUCAUAAUUAAGGAUGAUGGAGAAGACCAGCCUUAAACCAGAAAACAAAAUCUUGGAGUGAGUCAAAUCAGUAAGAUAUGAUGCCCUGGCUGGUCUUGAACUCCUGGACUCAAGCAACCCUCCCGCCUAUGCCUCCCAGAGUGCUGUGAUUAUAGACUUGGGCCACCACCACCAUGCCUGACUGGGCCCCUAACUUUAAUAGAGCCCCUAACUUAGCUAACGGGCCACUAAGUUUAACCAUUAAAAUGACAUAGAAAUUAUUUAAUUCAAUGAAAAGUAUGAAUUAGAUAACUGGAAUAAAUUAUUUAUUGCCUAUACCUAUAUUAGUAUGAUAUACAGAAAAUGAAAAAUUCAGUUGAAAGAAUUACAAUAUAUCUGAUUUGAGAUUAAAAAAUAAAAUGUUUAAAUAUACCUAUAUAUUAGAAAUGAAUUGAUAAGGCCCUGCCAAAAAAGAAAACUUGUAUUUAAAUAAAACAUAUACAUAGAAACUUUAAAACAAUAGUGGGCUUUUCCCCCUGAAAUGAGAGUCACCUACUUAAAUCUGCAGGUUUAAAUACAUGGGAUCACAAUUUUUUUUAAUAUGGUAGGAAGUUAAAAUUCCAUUGCAUUUAUUCAUUCAGUAAAUAUUGAUUUCAUGCCUAUUCAGUAUUAGAUGUUGAUACUGUAUUAGGUAUUGAAAACUGAGAGAAAACAAGAGAGUCCCUGCCCCUUUAAAGCUUAUGUUCAGCAGAAAAAUACAGCUAUUAAAUAUUUAAUUACUUAACUCUUCAGUUUAUCAUAAAGAAAGAUAUCCAAGAUAAUAUUGAGAUUGUUAUCAAGGGAAAUAUCUUGAGACCAAAGAGAAAAAGGGGACAAGAGUCUUUUGUGGAAAAGAUCACUGAGAGGAAUUUAUAAGCCUAAGAAGGAAUUCGUCAGGAAAAAGUGAGCAGAAGACGCUUACAAGAAGAGAAUAAAACACGGAGAGAGAUCCUGAAGUAAGAAGGAACAUGUGUAUUUAUGAGAGUUAAAAUGGUUCAUGUUCCUGGGUUGCAUAAAUGGGAGACAAAGGGACAGUCCUGUUUAAUGACCUCAGAAUUAGGCAGGGACUAGAGCAGGAAUAGCAGCAUAAGCAUAUCCUUCCAUCUAAAGUUCAACAAGUAAAGCUCUUCCAAAGUUUUUGCU